ensembl:lncRNA
GGGGGGGGGGGGGGUGUUUCGGCGGCGGUCCCACAAAAACCGCUUUGUAAAAAUUUAAACUCAGGUCUGUUGAGAAGACGUUGGGGGAAAAGACGUGAACUUGGGAGUAAUAAUAACACCUGUGAUUUCACGUUGCUGUUUUCUCAAACGGUCGUUUAAAAAGCUUUUUCCCCACUUAUUCUUAUUCGUAACAGUCCACACAUUUGUGUCUUUUAUUUCAAAUGAACAACAACAAAAAAGAAGUUACCUUCAAUAACAAAGUGACUAGACGCUCCGGAAUGAUCAGCGACGCGUUGACACCCGAGAUGAUCUACACGGCGGUCCAUGAAGUACGCCAACGACAAACGAGGCUUCAGGAAGGCCGCAACGUUCCACGUUGAUUCACAGUUAUGCACAGCGGCGGCACUCAGACGAGCCGUGAGGGAAAUGUUUGGGCCGAGUAGAUGUCUCCGACUCCUGCGGUAACUCCACCGCUGAGGGGACAACAUGUGUGCUGCUGCUGCUGCUGCUGGUGGUGCUGCUGGUGGUGAUGGCGCAGUGGUGUGCAGCCAAUCAGGAGCGGACUCGCCAUGACAACCUCCAGACAACCUUUCACAGGUCAGGUCCCAAAUGGCUUGGAGGUCAAUAAACGCAUCACACUCCACCUCCCUUCCUCCAUCCCUCCAUCUCUCGCUGUGAAGGAGCGAGUCGGGUAUGUUGGGUGUGCAGUCACAGUGAACCUCCAUCACGUCUCCUCGUGGUGAAAAUCCUGCACAUUAUCUGCAGAUUGUGUCUCUAAAAUGAAGAUGGAGACGUGAAGCACAUCCGAACUCCUCCUCCUAUCUGGUUUUAUGCAUCAGUCCCAAAUCCUGACCAUCAUUCGGUGACCGUUUGAGGACCACAUUCAAAUGAAAGUCGUUUCUUGUUUAAGCAAUUUACUCGCAUCCCCUCGUGCUUUAGGAAAUACAGACUAACAGUUAAAGACUAAAUGCUGAAACCUAUUAGAAGAUGAAUUGAAUAUGGAAUCACAUAUUGGGUUCAUUUGAGCAUAAAUGCCACAGCUGUCAUGUCACGGCGCGACGUUCCUGCUACUGCAGGAACUCUACGCUCUACACCAUUACAAACACACACGCACAACUUUGAGUCUUUCUUAGGUUCUUUCAUGGCCAAAAUAAUGAAAACGGG